GGAUGGAUGUACGUUUGCUACUCCGAAAGUGUCCGAAGAAUAAUCAUGAGGAGCCUUUUAAGACAAGAACUGAUUAAGGAUGAUAAGAAUAAACUGAGGAGCUGAGACGUUAGACUAGAAAACGAAGGGUCUAGCUAUAGACAGGAUAAAAUUUAGGGGAACACCUCGUUAUUCUCUACGAAACUUCAUAAGUUUGGUGAACGUUAGAGCCGCAUGGAUCAUUGGGAUUGCAUGGGUGAUUAGGAUUUGUAUACCAAACUUUGACAGCCUCGGCAAGCUAACCCCAGCAUACAGCAACAAGUUCAAGAAAGUUCCCACAACGGAAGAAUUUUCAAUCUUUACAGGACUCCGUAACUCCCCCAAGGUAAAUUUUGUGAACCGUCAUGCCUGAGGAAAUAAGAUAAGAUACUGAACCUUGGCACAUGAAUAGUUGCUGACGCAGCUGAUACUGGCAACGUCUUUAAUCGCUGUACAAUUAUUUUUAACCGACUGUAUGAAAAUAAAUUCAUUGAAAAUUGUCAAGACUAAGCACUUUCAUACACACAGUCUGCUAAUCGUUAUUACUCUUUGAAGCCAUUACCGAACGAUGAGAACGUAAUGAAGAAGGAGUCGAAAACGUUUGCAACGCCUAGAAGGAAU